rnacentral:lncRNA from 1 species
UUAUUUUUUUACUCUUUAAGGGUAUGAUUUUAAGAAACGUAACGUAUGGAUGACAAACAAAUAAUAAUAAAGUGUCUACCAAAUUAGGAAGAGAGAGGCUGAAUGGGGAAAUCAGAGAGAGAUACGACGUCGGAUCCGGAGGUAACCGAACUUCCCAGCUCCAGGUGAGGAACCUUCAAAUAUGAGCGGCAAAUACCCUGUCGCAGCUUUGUACCUUUGCUGAAUCUGAAACAAUUUCAUUUUACCACCAACCCAUUAAUACACAAGGGCUUACUCUCAAGUAUUGUAUCAAUAAUGAAUCAAAGAGUGCUUACUUCCAGAAUUUGUUGGCUGCUGCGCAAUGAGUUACGCCCUACGACACAGACUGUCCCACCGGACCCACCGCCAGUGAUUUUGGCUCCAUACAAAGUUCCAUCAUCUGUUGUAGACUUGUUGUGCUGCAUCCCUUGUACUAACUGGACCAGCCUGUUGGUUCCGUCCGAUCCUAGUCCGCACGCGCUGUAGCUAUAGUGACACUGAGACCAAACAAAGGAUAAACACACAAAAAAAAAAAUUAAGAUAUUAAUUCCCUUAUCUUAUAUAACUUAAUUUUGAUAUAAUACCUGAUAAAGAAGUCCUCCAAGAGCGGUAAGUUGCUCAUCUGAUGUUGCAGAAGUCAAAAGAGCUUUAAAAGUCUACACAAGAAGCAGCACAUGAUAUGAAACAGCCAGAAAAGGAUUACAAAAGCAGAAGAAGAUUUUGUGUAUUGUUACAUGUGUAUUACUCUUUUAUAUCAAAAGACGGACCUUAACCCGGAAGUUUUCGUAUAUAGGGUGUCUGGCAGGAGCUUUAACACUGUACGAACGUUUUUGAUCAAUCACUGUGACCGGAUCGUCAUGAUCCGAGUAUUCAUCAAUGAAUGUCUGACCCAGCAUGAAAUCUGGAAGCUUAUCAGCAUAACGGGCUUCAUACCUGCAACACAAUCAGAGCUAUGAGUAUUUUGAAAUGGUUCCAAAUGUUUAGCAAGUUGAGAACAUGGGUAGUUUCAACCCCUUGUGUACACACCUGUGAGGUGACAAAUUGCACAGGUAAUCUAGUGAAGCUUCGGUCUCAAGCAGCUCAAUACCUUCAUCCUCUAGUUCUUCCGGGUUACCUCCAUUACCAUUCGACACUGAUUGAGACAGAAUCGAAGACGCCAUUGACUUUAUCAUCUUUCUCCCCAUGUAGGCACCAACUCUGACAGACCCAUAGUCUGCACCUCCAACGCUACAAGAUAAAGUGCGUUGAGCAAUGAUAUAUAAAAGCUCGAGUGACUCUGCAAUCUUUUGAGUAAACGAAGAAAAAUGACAUUGUUGUGUCUAGAUAAUUUAGAGGAUAUUAAGCGUGAGGCCUUUUAUAGGCAUAGCAAUUGAGAGGAGAAAAGAGAAGACACUGGCAGAGAAAGACCAUCUACCUGUGUCGAAUUCCAGAGUCGAUUCCCCAAAAUCGGACAUGGUUGGGAAUCUCAACAAGUCCAAUUACUUCUGCAGGCUACAUAUUUUAUUUAAUAAGUUAGAAACAAGAGUAGAUAGAAAUCAACUAAGAUCUACUUGGCAGAUCAUGGCCAGAAAGAAAUGGAGAUAUCAUAUGUCCUACAAAACAUGGUGAUCUUUUACUUAUAACGUAUGCGUUUGUAAGACCUACUUGGCAGAUCAUGGCCAACAGUUUGUUGGCUUCCCCACAGGACGAAGUCAUCUGAUCCAUAACACCACAUGGAGCUCCAACAAUAUGAUUCUCCACCUAGCAGGCAACAGAAGAGAAUUAGAAAACACAAACAUUGAACAGAGUCGAGAAAAGAGUUACUAUAAUGCUGAACAUGAAACCUUUUGGCAGAGUAUGGCAAGAUCUCGGGGGUUGAUACUCAAUCCUGCACAUGUAAUGAAACAACUGUUGGAAUAGGCAAAACUAAAGAUGCAUUUUUCUUCUUCUGAAACACAGGCAGAACUAAAGAUGCAUAUAAUCAAAAUUUCCGUGUUUCUGUUUGGUAUACUUAGCUAUCUCAGAUGACGCUAGAUUUUUCACCUACGUUCGUGAUAAUAUGACUCUCAUUUAUGACGAUAUGUUAAAGAGAAUACCAUGCGCAGCAGCUACUGCGGACAUACUCGCCACCUCCACCGCAGCAGAUGAAGAUACACCUUUACCUUCAGGCACGGCAGAAGAAACCUAAGAAAACAAAGAAUCAGUUAGCUUUGACGUUCGUUAUAUAUGCAUAACACCAAGAACAAAAUAAUAGACAUGUCUGAAAGUCUGAAGCUUUUUAAGAAACUCAAAAAGACUGUACUAGUACCAGAAAGAUCAUAGUCUGCCAGAGUUAUAACUGAGAGACGUCAUAAAGUGGCUCCCUUAAGGGAAUAUCAAACCCAGGACGGCUAACUUCUUAUCCUAAAAUUGCUUAUUCCAACUCUUGAAAUCUUGAAAACGUUCUUUACAGUUUUCAUGACUUUACUCAUAGAACAUGUUAAACUAAAGUGUGUGCAGAAAAAGGAUCAUGGAUAAAUCAGGAGGGAUUCUGCAGUAGUGAAUGAUAAGUUCUAAAAGGAUGAGAAAAAAAUAACGCACCAGAAAGCUGAGGCUAUCCUCAAAACGGACGCCAAGUUCUGUCAUCAAUACCAAAAUCGUCCCAGCAACAUAUGCUGCCCACCUGGAAGAUAUUAUUACCUUGUUAACGGAGAAAAAUAAAAGAAGUACUUCAAAUAACAGAGGAAAGACUCACUUCUGUGCAGGAUCCUGAGCAAAGAACUUCCUCGCUUUUUCAUAAGAAAUUGGUUUAUCUCCAUCCAUGAAAUCAGACAAAUCCAUGUCAAAGGUAGGGGCACGGUUGCUGAUCUCAGACCCAUAUGAGACCUAAAACACAAAUAUGCAAGGAAGUCUCAGCAGGACCAUAGAGCAAAGCUUAAGCUAGCUAGGACAAUGCAGUUAUUGUAAAAGAAAGUCCGUGGUGUCCAUAUAAAAAUGUUCCAUCAAAUACUCUUACUUACAAUUUGGAGAACCGGUGUUGCUACUUGUCCCUUAGCUUGCUGUCGGGCUUGCGCAUGUUUCCACAGUCUAUGUUUUCCGGGAUGGUUUCUUUGAAGAGCUACAUGACAAGCUUCCCUUAUUGGCAUCUGAAGUUGUGGGAACAUAAAUAAGAAAAAUGUUGAGGUCAAUCAAAAUAGAAGAUACUCUGAUGGGGAAAUCAGAGAGAGAUACGACGUCGGAUCCGGAGGUAACCGAACUUCCCAGCUCCAGGUGAGGAACCUUCAAAUAUGAGCGGCAAAUACCCUGUCGCAGCUUUGUACCUUUGCUGAAUCUGAAACAAUUUCAUUUUACCACCAACCCAUUAAUACACAAGGGCUUACUCUCAA